UACAGAGGGUGCGAGGCGUUGUCCGGAAUCACUGGGCGUAAAGGGCGCGUAGGUGGUGGCUUAAGCGUGCGGUGAAAGCUCGGGGCUCAAGCUCCGAGUCGGCCGUGCGAACUGGGCUCACUGGAGCAUAGUAGAGGCAGGCGGAAUUCCGGGUGUAGCGGUGGAAUGCGUAGAGAUCCGGAAGAACACCGGUGGCGAAGGCGGCCUGCUGGGCAGUUAGCUGACACUGAGGCGCGACAGCGUGGGGAGCAAACAGG
rnacentral:rRNA from 1 species